rnacentral:rRNA from 1 species
UACGUAGGGUGCAAGCGUUAAUCGGAAUUACUGGGCGUAAAGCGUGCGCAGGCGGUUUUGCAAGACAGAUGUGAAAUCCCCCGGGCUUAACCUGGGAACUGCAUUUGUGACUGCAAGGCUAGAGUGUGUCAGAGGGAGGUGGAAUCGCGUGUAGCAGUGAAAUGCGUAGAGAUGCGGAGGAACACCGAUGGCGAAGGCAGCCUCCUGGGAUAACACUGACGCUCAUGCACGAAAGCGUGGGGAGCAAACAGG